rnacentral:lncRNA from 1 species
AUGAGGUCAUGGGGCGGGGUGAGCUGGCGGACCCGCCCAUCUCCCUGCAGCUGUGGCAGGUGCAUGGCGCAGCCUUGGGCCCGGCGCCUCUGUAAUCUCCCUCCCGGUCCCAGGGAGGUGGCUCCUCCAACCAGCCAGUUCAGCCUCCUCCGCCUCAGACUCCAGCCUGCAGGAAAGGUGGACCAGUGGCUCCGGAGCGGGGGAGUCAGCCCCGCACAGACACAGCCAGCACCAGUUGUUUCUGAAGACAGAGACUCAGCGUGCAAGGAAAGACCGCCAGCGAUGCAGGUACCACCUGUCUUUCAACACCAUUUACUCGCUGGCAUUUCUUUCUUUUUCUUUUCUUUCUUUCUUUCUUUCUUUCUUUCUUUCUUUCUUUCUUUCUUUCUUUCUUUCUUUCUUUCUUUCUUUGACAGGCAGAGUGGACAGUGAGAGAGAGAGAGAGACAGAGAGAAAGGCCUUCCUUUUCCGUUGGUUCACACCCCACGCUGCAGCUGGUGCACCGCACUGAUCCGAAGCUAGGAGCCAGGUGCUUCUCCUGGUCUCCCAUGCAGGUGCAGGGUCCAAGCACCUGGGCCAUCCUCCACUGCACUCCCUGGCCACAGCAGAGAGCUGGCCUGGAAGAGGAACAACCGGGACAGAAUCCGGCGCCCCGACCGGGACUAGAACCCUGGGUGCCGGCGCCGUAGGCAGAGGAUUAGCCUAGUGAGUCACGGUGCCGGCUCUUUCUUUCUUUUUAAAAUUAAUUAAUUAAUUAAUUUAUAAGGCAGAAUUGCAGAGAGAGAGAGAGAGAGAGGUCUUCCAUCUGCUGGUUCACUCCCCAGAUGGCCACAAUGGCCAGAGCUGUGCCAAUCAGAGGCCAAGAGCAAGGAGCUUCCUCCAGGUCUCCCACAUGGGUGCAGGGGCCCGAGGACUUGGGUCCUCUCCUACUGCUUUUCCAGGCCAUAAUGGAGAGCUGGAUCGGAAGUGGAGCAGCCAGGACUCGAACCGGCAUCCAUAUAGUAUGGCAGCACAGCCAAUGAUGGGUUAACCCACUUCACCACGCUAUACCUGUCCAGCAUUUCCUACUUCACUGUUUAUCUACAUGAAGGCAAUCAGUCAAUGCAGCUGCAUGGCUAAAAAAGAAUUCAAAACAUCCAGAGGAGCCCAGAGAGGGAAAAAAAAUCCACAAGUUCUCCUUCUAUUUCCCUAUCUCCCGCCCCACCUGCCGGUCCCGUGGGUAACCACUCGUGUCUUCACUUCUCUGGCAGGUGGAGGUUUUCCUGUCCACCUCAAGAGUACAAAUGAUUGCUCUCAUUUUUCAGAGUAUGCCCGGACCCACAUUUCACGGUCACUGCACAAGCCAGGGUUAGUGGGGUCUGCCCGCUUGAGAUCUGCCUUCUCCGCUUCCCCCAGCCCCGCCUCCGCCCCACCCCAACUCUCCAGCCCAAAA